GCCCUUACCGCUGUUCAUAGCUUU
rnacentral:sRNA from 1 species